CCUACGGGAGGCAGCAGUGGGGAAUUUUGGACAAUGGGCGCAAGCCUGAUCCAGCAAUGCCGCGUGAGUGAAGAAGGCCUUCGGGUUGUAAAGCUCUUUUGUCAGGGGAGGAACGGCUCCAGCUAAUAUCUGGGGCUAAUGACGGUACCUGAAGAAUAAGCACCGGCUAACUACGUGCCAGCAGCCGCGGUAAUACGUAGGGUGCAAGCGUUAAUCGGAAUUACUGGGCGUAAAGCGUGCGCAGGCGGUUUUGUAAGUCUGUCGUGAAAGCCCCGGGCUCAACCUGGGAAUUGCGAUGGAGACUGCAAGGCUUGAAUCUGGCAGAGGGGGGUAGAAUUCCACGUGUAGCAGUGAAAUGCGUAGAGAUGUGGAGGAACACCGAUGGCGAAGGCAGCCCCCUGGGUCAAGAUUGACGCUCAUGCACGAAAGCGUGGGGAGCAAACAGGAUUAGAUACCCUGGUAGUCCACGCCCUAAACGAUGUCUACUAGUUGUCGGGUUUUAAUUAACUUGGUAACGCAGCUAACGCGUGAAGUAGACCGCCUGGGGAGUACGGUGCAAGNUUAAAACUCAAAGGAAUUGACGGNNGNGAGNGCGAGACGACACGAGGAGAGG
rnacentral:rRNA from 1 species